GCACAACAUCCAACAUUGUGUACUUCAUAUCUGGAUUUCAGACCUAAGAAUACGGGCUUACAGUGAGGAGGGAGACAUGCAGAUACGUAGGGUCUGCAACCAUCUUUGGAGAACCAUUUGCAAGUCAGUAAUAUGAUCAGCCAAAAUGGAUGGACGGGUUGGAUAAGACACAUACAUCAUGGUGGGGCUCGCACAGCUUCCAGCACCGACCAGUACUCAGCUCGGUACUGGAGGGUUCACUACCGGAGCCGAUCCCUUCUCGUAUGUGAUAAGGCAGUGGGCCAUUAGCAUAUGGACCGUGCAGUCAGCUUUUUAGUAAAUGCUAUUAAAUACCAUAUAGUUGGCAGAUACCAACUCAUAUAAAUAUUUAUUCAAGCAGUAGGCCCCAAGUUAGAUAUUUUGUUUUUUU